AUUGAACGCUGGCGGCAUGCCUUACACAUGCAAGUCGAACGGUAACAGGUCUUCGGAUGCUGACGAGAGGCGAACGGGUGAGUAAUACAUCGGAACGUGCCUAGUAGUGGGGGAUAACUACUCGAAAGAGUGGCUAAUACCGCAUGAGAUCUACGGAUGAAAGCAGGGGAUCGCAAGACCUUGUGCUACUAGAGCGGCCGAUGGCAGAUUAGGUAGUUGGUGGGAUAAAAGCUUACCAAGCCGACGAUCUGUAGCUGGUCUGAGAGGACGAUCAGCCACACUGGGACUGAGAAACGGCCCAGACUCCUACGGGAGCAAGAAGUGGGGAAUUUUGGACAAUGGGCGCAAGCCUGAUCCAGCAAUGCCGCGUGCAGGAUGAAGGCCUUCGGGUUGUAAACUGCUUUUGUACGGAACGAAAAGCCCCGGGUUAAUACCCUGGGGUCAUGACGGUACCGUAAGAAUAAGCACCGGCUAACUACGAGCCAGCCGCCGCCGUAA
rnacentral:rRNA from 1 species